rnacentral:rRNA from 1 species
UACAGAGGGUGCAGCGUUGUUCGGAAUCAUUGGUCGUAAGGGCGUGUGAGCGGUUUGUAAGUCAUGUGUGAAAUCCCCCGGCUCAACCGAGGAACGACGCAUGAAACUGGCAGCUAGAGUACCGAAGAGGGGGUGGAAUUCCCGGUGAUGAGCGGUGAAAUGACGUAGAUAUCGGGAGGAACACCUGUGGCGAAGGCGGCCCCCUGGUCGGAUACUGACGCUGAGACGCGAAAGCGUGGGGAGCAAACAGG